rnacentral:piRNA from 1 species
GAACAAAAGGAUGGCUCGAGCACGUU